GUGCUCUCGCUCUCGGGUACUGGCCUAACCGGCUACGAGCCACCUGGACAUGCUUCGGCGGCAGCUCGUCGUCCUGCUCCGCGUGCAUCGCUGCCGGCUUCCAGGAAUCGGAGGCAGAGUGCCCCUACAGCAAGGAGUUCUUCUUCUCCGAUGGCGACUGCUGCGAGCUCCAUGUCGCCGACUUCCUUGCUUUCGAGCACUUCUUCCGCCCCACUCUGACCGAAAGCGUGGCUCUGGUAGUGGCGGUCCAAGCUGUAGCCUUUGCAUUUCUUCUCUUCUUGUUCCUUCUGCAGGAAUGGCGUCAUAGGUCUGAUGCGUUUCAGUCCUCUUCCAUCAGCAGAUAAAUAAUUGAUAAACUUGGUACAAUUUCAGCACCGACAGGAAUAUAACGUGUAUGCUUGAAUAAAAUAUGUAUGUUUUCCAUAAAGCUUGAGAGGUUUCACGAUCCGCCUUUUGUCUCCCCAAAGGUACAAACAAUUUGGACUACCCACUUCGCUUAUUAUGUUUGUGGUUAGUGAUUAUGUUGUCUAUAUAUGCUCCAAGGUUCCCUUUUCACUGAAA